UACGUAGGCAGCAAGCGUUGUUCGGAGUUACUGGGCGUAAAGCGUGCGCAGGCGGUUUGUUAAGUCCGUUGUGAAAGCCCCGAGCUCAACUUGGGAAUUGCAGUGGAUACUGGCAGGCUGGAGUACGGUAGAGGAAGGUGGAAUUCCCGGUGUAGCAGUGAAAUGCGUAGAUAUCGGGAGGAACACCAGUGGCGAAGGCGGCCUUCUGGACCAGUACUGACGCUCAUGCACGAAAGCGUGGGGAGCGAACCGG
rnacentral:rRNA from 1 species